GAUGAACGCUGGCGGCGUGCUUAACACAUGCAAGUCGAACGGUGAAGCGGGAGCUUGCUCUUGUGGAUCAGUGGCGAACGGGUGAGUAACACGUGAGCAACCUGCCCCUGACUCUGGGAUAAGCGCUGGAAACGGCGUCUAAUACUGGAUAUGUGGUGUGACCGCAUGGUCUGCAUCUGGAAAGAAUUUCGGUGGGGGAUGGGCUCGCGGCCUAUCAGCUUGUUGGUGAGGUAAUGGCUCACCAAGGCGUCGACGGGUAGCCGGCCUGAGAGGGUGACCGGCCACACUGGGAAUGAGACACGGCCCAGACUCCUACGGGAGGCAGCAGUGGGGAAUAUUGCACAAUGGGCGGAAGCCUGAUGCAGCAACGCCGCGUGAGGGGUGACGGCCUUCGGGUUGUAAACCUCUUUUAGCAGGGAAGAAGCGAAAGUGACGGUACCUGCAGAAAAAGCACCGGCUAACUACGUGCCAGCCGCCGCCUGUAA
rnacentral:rRNA from 1 species